ACACACACACACACACACACACACACACACACACACACCACCCCUAACAAACACUGUGAAACACCAGGCAGCUCACUUUACUGAUUGGGAAACACAAAAAGGAAGGUAAAGAGAGAGGCACAUUUGAAUCUUAAAUUCUCUGCAUAACUAACAAUGUGAACAGUGCAGCAACGAUUUGAUAUCAAUUGCAUGUGUCUUGAACAUUAAGACAGGACAUAACAUAAUAUUUUCCUUUGACCUGUUAGACCCAUUUUGGACCAAAAUUCUCAUAAGGCCUAAGCAUAUUAUUCUAGCUUUACCACCCAAAUAGAAGUCAGACAAAAAUAUUAGGUCCUCUUAUUAAAUAGGUAGGCAGUGAGACAUGUUUUUCCAUUCGAGGGUGAGACCCGCUCUAAAAUGCCUCCAGCUGUUCUGUAUCUGGUGCUCCGUUGGCCCGCCAGAAAUGUAAGUCAAGCUUGGCGGGCAAUGUGAUGAUUGAUCCUCCCCUGACUGCUCAGGGGCAACCGGAUUGGGCACAGUUUUUUUUAAACGUGAGUUAAGUAAGUUUGACAGUUGGGUAUUUUUGUUUAACUCACAGACAGCACUCACAAGCAGCACACACACACAUCCCACCCGUAACGAACACUGUGGAAUGCCGGGCAGCUCACUUGACUAAUUAGGAAAUAAAACAGGAGGAUAAAGAGUCACAUUUACAUCUCAACUGCUGCAUAACUAACACAGACUUUGCUGUAAUUAAUAUACAUGGAUAAUCUAAACAGCUUUUCAAGUAUAAAACAAUUGAUUACUUAGAACAUGAUGGUUAGAAAAGUUGUGCUAGAGUGGUAUGUGUGUGCUAGAGUGGUAUGUGUGUGCUAGAGUGGUAUGUGUGUGUUAGAGUGGUAUGUUUGUGCUAGAGUGGUAUGUGUGUGCUAGAGUGGUAUGUGUGUGCUAGAGUGUAUGUGUGUGUUAGAGUGGUAUGUGUGUGCUAGAGUGGUAUGUGUGUGCUAGAGUGGUAUGUGUGUGUUAGAGUGGUAUGUGUGUGUGUGUGUGUGAAAAGUUGUGCUAGAGUGGUAUGUGUGUGUAUGUGUGAAAAGUUGUGCUAGAGUGGUAUGUGUGUGCUAGAGUGGUAUGUGUGUGUGUAUGUGUGAAAAGUUGUGCUAGAGUGGUAUGUGUGUGCUAGAGUGGUAUGUGUGUGUGUGUGUGUGUGUGUGAAAAGUUGUGCUAGAGUGGUGUGUGUGAAAAGUUGUGCUAGAAUGGUAUGUGUGUGCAUGUGUGAAAAGUUGUGCUAGAGUGGUAUGUGUGUGCAUGUGUGCGCGUGUGUGUGUUGACGUGCGUGCGCGCAGGUGUUCCAACCUUGUUCUCUUUCUCCCCUAUUGUGGGUGAUCCCCAGAGGAAAUUACUUUGGUGGGAACAAAAGCUCCCCUCUGACUGACAAAACAAAACAACUCUAUGGAAACAGCCGAUACCAGUGAGCUUUAAAGACCUGCACACACACACACACACACACACACACACACACACACACACACACACACACACACACACAAACACUGGGUGGUGGAGCCAGUUGGACAGCGUAAAGCACUCUAGGCUUACAUUAUUGAUAACCUCUCUCUUUCUCUCAUUCCCCCCCUUCUCUUUUACGUUCGCUCUCUCUUUCUCUCUCCCUCACUCUCCUGGUGGGCAAAACUGGUAAAAACUGGUUAAAAAUUACACAAUUAUGUCAUUUCAACCGGUUUCAUGUUGCAAUUACGUAAUUUCAACCAAUGUUUCCCGCUUGUCUCUUUCUCUCUCUUUCUCAUUGGCAGUAUUGUCUGCACUGCAGGCCGCUCUCUUGUGACUAGUCUCAGACCCUCAACGUAACAUUAUCUUCAUUAGAGACCCUUCUUUGGUCCUUUUGUUUAAAAAGUCUGCAUGAUAAUACAUAAUAAUAUGUGUACAGUAUAAUACAAGAGGAUGAGGGCUGGGGAGUAACUGAUUACAUGUAAUCAGCUAUAUGUAAUCAGCUACAUGUAAUCAGCUAUAUGUAAUCAGCUACAUGUAAUCAGCUAUAUGUAAUCAGCUAUAUGUAAUCAGCUAUAUGUAAUAAGCACAUGUAAUCAGCUACAUGUAAUCAGCUAUAUGUAAUCAGCUAUAUGUAAUCAGCUACAUGUAAUCAGCUAUAUGUAAUCAGCUAUAUGUAAUAAGCACAUGUAAUCAGCUACAUGUAAUCAGCUAUAUGUAAUCAGCUAUAUGUAAUAAGCACAUGUAAUCAGCUAUAUGUAAUCAGCUAUAUGUAAUAAGCACAUGUAAUCAGCUAUAUGUAAUCAGCUACAUGUAAUCAGCUACAUAUAAUAAGCACAUGUAAUCAGCUACAUGUAAUCAGUUACAUGUAAUCGGCUAUAUGUAAUAAGCACAUGUAAUCAGCUACAUGUAAUCAGCUACAUGUAAUGAGUUACAUGUAAUCAGCUAUAUGUAAUAAGCCCAUGUAAUCAGCUAUAUGUAAUAAGCAUAUGUCAUCAGCUACAUGUAAUCAGCUAUAUGUAAUCAGCACAUGUAAUCAGCUAUAUGUAAUCAGCUAUAUGUAAUCAGUUCCAUGUAAUCAGCUACAUGUAAUCAGCUACAUGUAACUAACUGUAAUAUAUUACCUUACCAGCAAAAUAUUCUAAUCAGAUUAGAGAUACUUUUGAGAAAGUAGAUGAUUACUUCUAGGAUUACUUUUAAAUUCAGAAUGGAUGUUUGCAAAUUUGUUUUUUCUUGAAAAAAGGUGCAAGUUUAAGUUUGUUCCACCUGAGCAAGCCCUAACACAUACCUAAUGUCUUCGUCUAAUGCCUUUUAUGAGGGAAGUAAUCCAAAAGUAACUGAAAGUGAUCAGAUCAUUACGUUACUGAGUUUGGGGAAUCCAAAAGUUACAUUACCGAUGACAAUUUUGGACAGGUGACGGAUUACAUUCAGAAAGUAACAUACCCAUCCCUGAAGAGGAUGACUAUACAUGAAUGUGGUCAACUUCGAAACAUAAAAAAUCUGGAUAAAUUAAUAGACAUUUACAGGGAAGUUACUGCUAAAUUACUUAUCUUCAGGUUGGCGUGGGUGUGUGUAUGUGUGUGCGUGCGUGUGUGAUAAUCUGAAUGUACUGUCUUUCAGCAACUCUUGUACCAGGUUGUCAACCCUACCCUUAUUAGAUGAGUUGACAACCACCUACCCUUAUCAGUUGAGUUGACAACAACCCUACCCAUAUCAGAUGAGUUGACAACAACCCUACCCUUAUCAGAUGAGUUGACAACCACCUACCCUUAUCAGUUGAGUUGACAACAACCCUACCCAUAUCAGAUGAGUUGACAACAACCCUACCCAUAUCAGAUGAGUUGACAACAACCCUACCCAUAUCAGAUGAGUUGACAACAACCCUACCCAUAUCAGAUGAGUUGACAACAACCCUACCCAUAUCAGAUGAGUUGAUAACAACCCUACCCAUAUCAGAUGAGUUGAUAACAACUCUACCCAUAUCAGAUGAGUUGAUAACAACCCUACCCAUAUCAGAUGAGUUGACAACAACCCUACCCAUAUCAGAUGAGUUGACAACAACCCUACCCAUAUCAGAUGAGUUGACAACAACCCUACCCAUAUCAGAUGAGUUCAAAUCAAAUGUUAUUUGUCACAUGCAGAUGUUAAUGCGAGUGUAGCGAAAUGCUUGUGCUUUGUAGUUCCGGCCGUGCAGUAACAUCUAACAAUUUCACAACAACUACCUUAUACACACACGUGUAAAGGAAUGAAUAACAAUAUGUACAUAAAGAUAUAUGAAUGAGCGAUGGCCGAACGGCAUAGGCAAGAUGCAGUAGAUGGUAUAGACAUAUGAGAUGAGUAAUGUAGGGUAUGUAAACAUUAUAUAAAGUGGCAUUGUUUAAAGUGGCUAGUGAUACA